rnacentral:lncRNA from 1 species
CUCUUUUAAAGGGACAGCAUAGCUUCCUGGUCAUUGCCAGAUUAAUUUCUCAAUGUUUCAUAACUCAAGUAUGUGCUGUCUUCAGCAGUAGGAUCUUACAAACAAGCUCUGAAGGGCAACCAAGAACAACGUCUAUGUCCUAAGAAAUUUUCCUCCAAAGUAGUGGCCUUGCAGAAAACUGCUACACAACAGCCACAUCAUCAUGAAUCCUCAACAGGGAACCAGAUGUUAGAACAUUGAGGCCUAUGGAAGAUACCUUCUAUUCAAGCUACAACAUCCUCCUCAAAUACUUGCCUCACCAUGGGAGAAGACAAUGGGAGACUCACAGAGCCACGGGAGGAAUGAUGAGAGAAGAGGAGACAUCCUUGUGGGUGAACCAGAGGUAACAGUAUGGAGUAAGGAGCAGAAUAAAGCAAUCCUUUGCUUGAAUAACCACUCGAAGGGACCGGUAUCAGCUCAAGACAUCCCAUAGACCAAGUUCUCAGGACCAAGGAGAUAUAUUUGCCUCUGAGGGACAAAGGACAGGAAGAAGAGACAAAGAUAGAGGACAAAGACUGGAUGAAGGAAAGGGGAAAAAGAAACAAGGGAGAGGGGAAAAGCUAUUUGGGGGGAGGAGAGGGGAAGGGGAAGGGACUAACUGGAGAAGGGUGCAGAGGAUGAGAGGGCUUUGGGAACUUUGGAGAGUGAGAGAGUAUGCAAAUUGUGGUCAGGGAAAGGAAGAGAGGCAGGGCUGAGUAGGUCUUCAAGAAUUUGGAUAGGCAUGGGCCCAAUGGGCUUUUUUUUUUUUUUUCACAUUUAAAGUAAGGGCCUAGUGGCUCCUUCUGACCUGAGCUUCCCCUCCUUUGGGCCAUCCUAGCAGCAGGAGUCUUGGCCAAGAGUUGGAAAUGGUGUUUUUGGUUACACUCAUCGUGGUUGUGGAAUACUUUCAAUGCCAAGGUCAGACAUUACCUAGUCGAUAUAGAGGCCAAGCGUGGGUACCAGUAGGUGACUUUCACAGAUCUCAUGUCUGAGAGUACAUGAGGCUUGGAAAAAGACAUCCGAGAGGUGAGUCAGUCGGAAUGGAGAGGGCAGAACCCAUCACACUUGGUGGUCAUUGGGCCAAGGUCAAAAGACUGGGUGUACUGGCCGGUUUUGUGUGUCAACUUGACACAGGCUGGAGUUAUCACAGAGAAAGGAGCUUCAGUUGGGGAAGUGCCUCCAUGAGAUCCAGCUGUGGGGCAUUUUCUCAAUUAGUGAUCAAGGGGGAAGGGCCCCUUGUGGGUAGGGCCAUCUCUGGGCUGGUAGUCUUGGGUUCUAUAAGAGAGCAGGCUAAGCAAGCCAGGGAAGCAAGCCAGUAAAGAACAUCCCUCCAUGGCCUCUGUAUCAGCUCCUGCUUUCUGACCUGCUUGAGUUCCAG